UACGUAGGGGGCAAGCGUUGUCCGGAUUUAUUGGGCGUAAAGAGCGUGUAGGCGGUUUGGUAGGUCCGCUGUGAAAACUCGAGCUCAACCUCGAGACGCCGGUGGAAACCAUCAGACUAGAGUCCGGAAGAGGAGAGUGGAAUUCCUGGUGUAGCGGUGAAAUGCGCAGAUAUCAGGAAGAACACCCGUGGCUAAGGCGGC
rnacentral:rRNA from 1 species